GGGGCUUUGGCUCAGUGGUAGAGCGCUUGCCUAGCAAGCGCAAGGCCCUGGGUUCAGUCCCCAGCUCCG
rnacentral:tRNA from 1 species